CCUACGGGAGGCAGCAGUAGGGAAUAUUGCACAAUGUUGCGAAAGCCUGAUGCAGCAACGCCGCGUGCGCGAUGAAGGCCUUCGGGUCGUAAAGCGCUUUUCGGGGAGAUGAGGAAGGACAGUAUCCCCGGAAUAAGGCUCGGCUAACUACGUGCCAGCAGCCGCGGUAAAACGUAGGAGCCUAGCGUUAUCCGAAUUUACUGGGCGUAAAGCGCGUGCAGGCGGUUCGGUAAGUUGAGUGUGAAAUCUCCUGGCUCAACUAGGAGAGGUCGCUCAAUACUGUCGAACUAGAGGAUGGUAAAGGGAGGUGGAAUUCCCGGUGUAGUGGUGAAAUGCGUAGAUAUCGGGAGGAAUACCAGUGGCGAAGGCGGCCUCCUGGGCCAUACCUGACGCUCAGACGCGAAAGCUAGGGGAGCAAACGGGAUCAGAAACCCCGGUAGUCCUAGCAGUAAACGAUGUGGACUUGGCGUUGGUGGGGUAAAAUCCAUCAGUGCCGGAGCUAACGCGGUAAGUCCACCGCCUGGGGACUACGGCCGCAAGGUUAAAACUCAAAGGAAUUGACGG
rnacentral:rRNA from 1 species